rnacentral:rRNA from 1 species
AUUGAACGCUGGCGGAGUGCUUUACACAUGCAAGUCGAACGGCAGCACGGACUUCGGUCUGGUGGCGGGUGGCGAACGGGUGAGUAAUGUAUCGGAACGUGCCCAGUCGUGGGGGAUAACGUAGUGAAAAUUACGCUAAUACCGCAUACGAUCUAUGGAUGAAAGCGGGGGAUCGCAAGACCUCGCGCGAUUGGAGCGGCCGAUAUCAGAUUAGGUAGUUGGUGGGGUAAAGGCCCACCAAGCCAACGAUCUGUAGCUGGUCUGAGAGGACGACCAGCCACACUGGAACGGAGACACGGUCGAGACUCCUACGGGAUGCAGCAGUGGGGAAUUUUGGACAAUGGGCGAAAGCCUGAUCCAGCCAUUCCGCGUGAAGGAUGAAGGCCCUCGGGUUGUAAACUGCUUUUGUACAGAACGAAAAGGUUUCUACUAAUACUAGGAGCUCAUGACGGUACUGUAAGAAUAAGCACCGGCUAACUACGUGCCAGCCGCCGCCGUAA